AUUGAACGCUGGCGGCAGGCCUAACACAUGCAAGUCGAGCGAGCGGCGGACGGGGGAGUAAUGUAUGGGGACUGCCCGAUAGAGGGGGAUAACUACUGGAAAAGGUAGCUAAUACCGCAUACUAUAGGAUAAUGCAUAUGGGAUUAGCUAGUAGGUGAGGGAAAGGCUCCCCUAGGCGACGAUCCCUAGCUGGUCUGAGAGGAUGAGCAGCCACACUGGAACUGAGACACGGCCCAGACUCCUACGGAGGCAGCAGUGGGGAAUAUUGCACAAUGGGCGCAAGCCUGAUGCAGCCAUGCCGCGUGUAUGAAGAAGGCCCUAGGGUUGUAAAGUACUUUCAGUCGGGAGGCGUUACCCGCAGAAGAAGCACCGGCUAACUCCGUGCCAGCCGCCGCGGUAAUUC
rnacentral:rRNA from 1 species